rnacentral:rRNA from 1 species
UACAGGGGGUGCAAACGUUGCUCGGAAUUAUUGGGCGUAAAGCGCACGUAGGCGGUUUGUUAUGUCGGAUGUGAAAGCCCUCGGCUUAACUGAGGAAGUGCAUCCAAAACUGUGCAGCUAGAGUACUAAAGAGGGUCGCGGAAUUCCCGGUGUAGAGGUGAAAUUCGUAGAUAUCGGGAGGAACACCGGUGGCGAAGGCGGCGACCUGGGUAGAUACUGACGCUGAGGCGCGAAAGCGUGGGGAGCAAACAGG